rnacentral:rRNA from 1 species
CCUGGUUGAUUCUGCCAGUAGUCAUAUGCUUGUCUCAAAGAUUAAGCCAUGCAUGUCUAAGUAUAAGCAAUUACAAAGCGAAACUGCGAAUGGCUCAUUAUAUAAGUUAUCGUUUAUUUGAUAGUACCUUACUACAUGGAUAACCGUGGUAAUUCUAGAGCUAAUACAUGCUGAAAAUCCCGACUUCGGAAGGGAUGUAUUUAUUAGAUACAAAACCAAUGCCCUUCGGGGCUCUCUUGGUGAUUCAUGAUAACUUCUCGAAUCGCACGGCCCCGCGCCGGCGAUGGUUCAUUCAAAUUUCUUCCCUAUCAACUUUCGAUGCUACGGUAUUGUCCUAGCAUGGUUGCAACGGGUGACGGAGGGUUAGGGCUCGACCCCGGAGAAGGAGCCUGAGAAACGGCUACUACAUCCAAGGAAGGCAGCAGGCGCGCAAAUUACCCAAUCCCGACUCGGGGAGGUAGUGACGAUAAAUACCGAUACAGGGCUCUUUUGGGUCCUGUAAUUGGAAUGAGUACAAUUCAAAUCCCUUAACGAGGAACAAUUGGAGGGCAAGUCUGGUGCCAGCAGCCGCGGUAAUUCCAGCUCCAAUAGCGUAUAUUAAAGUUGUUGUGGUUAAAAAGCUCGUAGUAGAAGCUCGGCCUCCGGUCGGCCGGUCCGCCUCACCGCGUGCACUGGUUCGGCCGGGGCUUCACCUUCUGCGGAACCGCAUCUCCUUCACUGGGGGUGUCGGGGAAACAGGACGUUUACUUUGAAAAAAUUAGAGUGCUCCAGGCAGGCCUAUGCUCGAAUACAUUAGCAUGGAAUAAUGGAAUAGGACGUGUGGUCUUAUUUCGUUGGUUUCUAGGACCGCCGUAAUGAUUAAUAGGGACAGUCGGGGGCAUCAGUAUUCAAUUGUCAGAGGUGAAAUUCUUGGAUCAAUUGAAGACUAACUACUGCGAAAGCAUUUGCCAAGGAUGUUUUCAUUUAUCAGGAACGAAAGUUAGGGGAUCGAAGACGAUCAGAUACCGUCGUAGUCUUAACCAUAAACUAUGCCGACUAGGGAUCGGACGGUGUUAUUUCUUGACCCGUUCGGCACCUUACGAGAAAUCAAAGUGCUUGGGCUCCAGGGGGAGUAUGGUCGCAAGGCUGAAACUUAAAGAAAUUGACGGAAGGGCACCACCAGGGGUUAAAUAGCUGUUAGCCGCAGUUAACUCUGCUCCUCAAAGCCGCCCGAAAGGGUCAGGUGGUGUUCCCAGGCCUCGCGCCGAACCAUGGCUAGUCUCCUCGGAGGCAACACCCUCAAAUUGCGGGGAACCCCUAAAGCUCUCACUCCAAAGCCGGCGGCGAAAGCCCCCGGUGGCCAGGUUAAUGACCUCGGGUACUGGAAGAACGUGAGAGAUGCUACAAUGGGCAAUCCGCAGCCAAGCCCCUACGUGCCCGCCGGGCAUACGGGGAAGGUUCAGAGACUUGACGGGGGUGGGUAGGUAACUGUUCCUGCUUAAGAUAAAGUCCGUCCCUACGGGAAAUCGUAGGUUGCUCUGCAAAUCGAAUGCAAGGCCCUUAAACGGGAGCCUGCGGCUUAAUUUGACUCAACACGGGGAAACUCACCAGGUCCAGACACAACGAGGAUUGACAGAUUGAGAGCUCUUUCUUGAUUUUGUGGGUGGUGGUGCAUGGCCGUUCUUAGUUGGUGGAGUGAUUUGUCUGCUUAAUUGCGAUAACGAACGAGACCUUAACCUGCUAACUAGUCCGUAUUACCUCGGUAGUACGCCGACUUCUUAGAGGGACUAUCGGCUCAAGCCGAUGGAAGUUUGAGGCAAUAACAGGUCUGUGAUGCCCUUAGAUGUUCUGGGCCGCACGCGCGUUACACUGACGGGGCCAGCGAGUACUGCCUUGGCCGAAAGGUCCGGGUAAUCUUGUGAAACCCCGUCGUGCUGGGGAUAGAGCAUUGCAAUUAUUGCUCUUCAACGAGGAAUCCCUAGUAAGCGCAAGUCAUCAGCUUGCGUUGAUUACGUCCCUGCCCUUUGUACACACCGCCCGUCGCUACUACCGAUUGAAUGGCUCAGUGAGGCUUUCGGACUGGUCCGGAGUGGGGGGCGACCCCCGUUCUGGACCGGAAAGUUAUCCGAACUCGGUCAUUUAGAGGAAGUAAAAGUCGUAACAAGGUCUCCGUUGGUGAACCAGCGGAGG